AUCUCAGACAACCCAAAUCACCACAUCCAAACCCUAGCUCACGGCGAUCUCUCCGUGCCCUGAUCCCCGCCGCCGCCGAUGUCGUUGGACCUGCCGCCCGUGGGGCCCUCUGAGGCCGCCAGGCCGUCAGCCUUCCCACCGAAGGAGUCGGAGCCCUCCGGCACUGAGCCACCGUCGCCGCCGUGCUAAGGGCCGCCCAUGAGAAUAAUGCAUUGUGGGUCAACAACUUGCCCACGCACACAAGCGAGGAAGACGUCAUGGCGGCCAUCACACCAUACGAGGCGCUCGACUAUGUCGCCACACGCGCUGGCUCCGGCAGCUAUGUGUUCAUCCUUUUCCAAUCUGUCGCCGAGUCCCGAGCCGCCCUCGAGGUGCUCCACGGGUCCAAGGUCAAGAGUGCAUUCAUCUGGGUCGAGUACACCCGGCCGUUUAUUUAGGCGGUGUAGGAUGAGGCCUCCAACAGCUCUGAUAUAUGUAAUUAUUCGAGCGGCGACACAUGGGAUCAACGGAGACGGGGUGGUCUAGCAGAGGCAUGCAGGUGGCUGGGGGAUGGCGGCCCUCAGGGUCCACUGGAGCGUGGCAGGCGAGGCCCUUGAGUCAGGAUGGCAAUCGGGUCGGGUUUCACCGGGCCGACCUCUACCAAAUCCAUGUCUGAAUAGCUAAUCAGGUCAACCUACGACCCAACCCCAGGGUUUGAUGGAUGACCCAUGCCCACACCCGAUGGGUGACCCGACUCAUUCGGGCACCCAUCGGGUCCAUGAAAACAUUUCCAUUUUUUAAUCCGCCUAUCAUGCAACAAGUUCAAACAAAAUCAGUGAAUGACCUAGCAGGAAGAGAUGGAAGUGGGUUCCUCGGCUGAGGUGGCCGCCAGGGAGAAGCCGCUGGUGCGUAGGGAGGUCUGGAUGUCCGGAUUUUCUUUCUAACUGCAUGUCAUCUGGGUUGGGGGAAGAAGGGUCAGGUUCAGCAUUUUUUCUGGAUCUUCAGUAAAUCUUUUUCUGGAUUGGGGAACAAGGGUUGGAUCAUGCAACUCUUUUUUUCUGGAUCUGUAGCGAAUCGUUCUGUACUACCACUUAUAUAUGGAUGGUAGUCGUGGGUGAUUGUUUUUCCAAAUCUUCAGUAGAUCGUUUAUUUAAUUGGGGAACAAGGCUCGAGUCGGGAAGCUUUUUUUAACUAUGAUCUUUAGCAAAUCAUUUUCUACCACUUAUGGAUUGUUUUUCGAGAUCUUUAGCAAUUCAUUUUUCGGAUUGGGGAACAAGGGUCAGUUUGGCAAGCUCUUUUUUCCCAAUUCUUAUGCAAAUCAUUUUCUACCACUUAUGGAUGGCAGUGGUGGGUACUUGGUUGCAACUUCAGGGACAAGGAAGGUCACGACGGACAUAGAGAAACAUGAAUCCCUUUAUCAAUGUUCAAGAAAGCAUUGUUAAGCGAUGCUUAAGCACUGAGCAAUGGAAAAAUGCUUCGAUAUGGCCACAAGUGGUAGGCUAAGUGUUUUUCUAAAUUUUGGCCAGAAUUUGGCUAUUUUUGAACUGCUUCUGCUUAGCUGCUUGCGCAAUAAUGAAAAUAUGUCAUUUCUGUUAUUAUUAGGGUCUAUACGGGAGUUGUUUCCUUCAGAUUCUGGCCAAAUCAUGGAAAUAUGAUCUGCAUUUGGUUAUGUAUAUUUGAACUAAACAACAUUUUAUUUGUCAUUUUGCUUGUUGUGUGAACCUGGUGUGUAAUAUCUGUGUUGUGAAGGUUAUUUUAGAUACUACUUCAACUACAUGUGCCAUGUUUCCUAUUUUCCUGUGCAUACUAUUCAAAACAAACAAAUUCUUGCCAUGUUUGAAAAAAUGCUCAAGCGCGCCUAAGCGCCCAUUGCUCUAUGUUGCGGCCUUCCGUUGUUUUGAAUAUUAUCCUUUAUUAGUAGGUAUAGAAAUACUCCUAGAUUGGUUAUUGUUCCUUGUUCUAGGGUGAAAUUGUUAUGCUGGUGUUGUAUAAACAUUUAUGCCCUCAUGAUAUUUAGUGGUGUUUGUCGAUUGGCUUUUACAAGCUAGAGCUGUUAGGAACCUACCAGCUAGAGGAAUUAGUCCAUCUAUCUCAAAGUAGGAGGCAGAGGAGGAGUUUCAAAAGUUUGGAAAGAUUGAAGGUGUUGCAUUCUCCCAUGAUCAACCAUUUGCAUACAUCCACUUUCAGAAGCUGGAAGAUGCCAUUUCUGGCCAUAGAGCCAUGAAUGGGACAGAUUUAGGGGGCAAGGAAUUGUGUGUUGAUUUUCAAAGGUCCAGAGCAAGAGCGGUAUGCAUCUAUUAUUGUUGACUGAGUUUGUGAAGUGCUUCUAGGCUCCAGUUUUUCAAGGGAUGAUGCCUUAUUAUUUAGUUAUUUGUACUGAUUUUGAUAGGAAUGGUCGGAAGCAGGCAACUUCAGCAGUAGAUGAUCAUUUCCACCUGGUUAAAUGGGAGUUGGUUUUGCUAGAGUACGAAUGAGAGAGGCAAAAGUUCCUACCAAUGUUCUCUGGGUGGGUUUACCCAAUACACAUUAAAUUAACAAGGAGGCACUAAGGCGGGCUAUGGCAGCACAUGGUGUGGUUACAAACAUCAAAGUUUUUCCAGAAAGGUAGUGUGCUUUUAUGGAGUUUGCAACCAUUGAAGGAGCUUCUAAUGCUAAGAAUCUUCUAGAUGAGCCUCUUUUCAAUAAUACAAGGAUUCAUGCUGUUUUCUCUAUCAAUGGGCUUGAUAACCAAACACCGCUUGUUGGGUUCCCUAGAUCAGAGAUGUACAAUAAUACUCCACAUGCCGCACGUGAUUAUUUUUGUGCUGGUCGGUCACAGUAGUCAUGGCACAUCACAAGGGUAUGAUCCUCGACGUGGAAGAUCAAGAUACUUGGACUAUGGUGCAAUGCAAAUCACUCUUGGUAUCCUUCAAACACUUGAAGUUGGCUCAUCUUUUUUGUCUAGACAUUCUUCUCAUAGUGCGCUUGAUCCGAGAGAUGCCAAAAGGGUGAGGCUGGAUGCUGGCAUCGACCCUUACCAUGUAAGGGCAGGCACUGAGGCUUUUCAGCCGGGAUGGGUAGUUUUUUCUUAACCUUGAUCUUUAGCGAAUCAUUUUCUAACACUUAUGGAUUGUUUUUUCUGGACCUUUACCAAAUUGUUUUCGGGAAUGGGGAACAAGGGUCAGGUCGGGCAGCUCUUUUUUUCCUCAGAUCUUUAGCGAAUCAUUUUCUAUCACUUAUGGAUGGCAGUGGUGGGUAAUUGUUGGCAACUUUAGGGGCAAAGUUAGGACAAACAGGUAGAAUCACGAAUCCAUUUAUCAGUGUUCAAGAAAGUGUUGUGGUAGUGAAGUAUAUUAUGGUCAUUUGUGUUGUGGUAGAGACACUUUCCUUUAUUAGGGCCGGGACGGACGGGCAGAAGCACGAACCAUAGAUACAUAAAUGUGUGAUUAUUUGCAUUAUGGUAGAGACACUUUCUUUUAUGAGGGUCAUUUAUAUUAUUUCUAUUUGUGGUAGUGAAGUAUAUUGUGCCAAUGAGAUAUUAUAUGCAUUCCUUCUUUUUGAGACGUUUGUAUGAGGGGAAGUUAUUACUAACCAACUCCUUGAAAUAAAUUAAAAUGUGUAUAUGAAGGCCAUGUUUUUUGCGAUUAUUUUUCUCAAGGUGGCAUAAUUAGAUGGCCCACCCACACAGCAAACCAUCCCUGCCCCACUCAUAAGAUAUACAGGAUGCAUACAAUAUCUUGUAACUAUGGAAUGCUCUGAUUUAAGUUUGAAUGAUGUACUAAUACAGAAUAAUCCUUGGUUAGUCAUAGUUGUUUAUUUCUUGAGUGAAAUUGCUCCACUCAUGAGGUUAUGUUGUGUAAUGAGUUGUGCACA